UUAUUAUGAGGCAGGAACAUAUGCUUUUAGGAAUUGCAACAAUAUCAAGUUCUCUCCCUAUGUGUUGAAAAUUUUGAAGUUGGACUUUUUGGCCUUCUUAUGCUAGUAGAUUCUUGCAGCAACAAAUUGUUUUUGUACAAUAUCAAUGUGCAUAGGAAAUGGGUUAGACUUAAAGGUGCUUGCCAUGAGAUUUAUGAUGCUCUCUUACAUGUUCCAAUUACUACUUUUUACGUGAGCAUUAUUGAAAUCAUCAUGCCUAGCUAAAAG
rnacentral:lncRNA from 1 species